rnacentral:rRNA from 1 species
AGCGGGUGGUAANUUUCAUCUAANGCUAANUAUGGGCCCGAGACCGAUAGCGCACAAGUAGAGUGAUCGAAAGAUGAAAAGCACUUUGAAAAGAGAGUUAAACAGUACGUGAAAUUGUUGAAAGGGAAGCGCUGGUCCCCAGACGUGGGCGCGAUCGGUUCCCCCGGUCCUCNNNNNGGAGCGGGCUACUCCAUCGCGCCCAGGCCCACAUCGGUUGGGGUGGUCGGUGAAAGGUCCCGGGAAUGUAUCGACUCUCCGGGGUCGACUUAUAGCCCGGGGCGUCAUGCGACCCACCCCGACCGAGGAACGCGCUCCGGCUCGGAUGUGGGCGUAAUGGGGAUCAGCGGCCCGUCUUGAAACACGGACCAAGGAGUCGAACCGCCGUGCGAGUGUUUGGGUGUCAAGCCCCGACGCGGAAUGAAAGUGAACGGAGGUCAGAACCCCAUCCNNNNNCGGGGCGCAUGAUCGACCGAUCCGGAUGUCUUCGGAUGGAUUUGAGUAUGAGCACGGCGGGUCGGACCCGAAAGAUGGUGAACUAUGCCUGGAUAGGGUGAAGCCAGAGGAAACUCUGGUGGAGGCUCGCAGCGGUUCUGACGUGCAAAUCGAUCGUCAAAUCUGGGUAUAGGGGCGAAAGACCAAUCGAACCAUCUGGUAGCUGGUUCCUGCCGAAGUUUCCCUCAGGAUAGCAGUAACGNGCGUCAGUUUUAUGAGGUAAAGCGAAUGAUUAGCGGCCUGGGGGNGGNNNNNNNNNNAACCCUAUUCUCAAACUUUAAAUANGNAAGANGNCUNGGUUGCUUAAUUGAACCCAGGCACUCNAAUGGGANGCUCCAAGUGGGCCAUUUUUGGUAAGCAGAACUGGCGAUGCGGGAUGAACCGAAAGUCGACUUAAGGUGCCCAAAUGCGCGCUAACCUAGA